rnacentral:lncRNA from 1 species
GAUAGAAGAAGAGCACAAAUAGCAGCAACAAAUGUAAUUCGCGCCAUGAAGAAGAGGAAGUUGAGGGGAUGGCAAAUAUCAACACUCUUCUCGUUGUUCAGAAAUGGUGAGAUUCUUCAACGGUGAUAUAUGUCGAAACCAAAGUUUGAAAAUGGGAAUAGACUUAAAAAAAAAAUGGAAGUCACCACCGAUAUUUUAUUGUGGUGUGAUUGGAUCACCUUUAAAAUAAUUUUAGCUCUGCGAAUUUUGAGAAAAACAAGUUCGGGAGUCGGUUACGUACGAAGAAGAGUUAGCACCCUCGUGACGCC